rnacentral:tRNA from 1 species
GCGUGAUUAACUCAGUUGGUAGAGUGUCAGCCUUCCAAGCUGUUCGUCGCCCGUUCGAGUCGGGUAUCACGCUCCA